GCGAAAACUUUACAAUGCUGGCAACAGCGAUAAGGGAACCUCGAGUGCCAGGUUACAAAUCUGGCUGUCGAGAUGCCUAAAAAGCAUUUCAUAGCAAGGGCCGGGCAAGACCGGUGCCAGCCGCCGCGGUAACACCGGCGGCUCGAGUGGUAACCGUUAUUAUUGGGUCUAAAGGGUCUGUAGCCGGCCGGAUAAGUCUCUUGAGAAAUCUGGCAGCUUAACUGUCAGGCUUUCAGGAGAUACUGUCUGGCUUGAGGCCGGGAGAGGUGAGAGGUACUUCAGGGGAAGGGGUGAAAUCUUGUAAUCCUUGAAGGACCACCUGUGGCGAAGGCGUCUCACCAGAACGGACCUGACGGCAAGGGACGAAAGCUAGGGGCACGAACC
rnacentral:rRNA from 1 species